rnacentral:rRNA from 1 species
UACGGAGGGUGCGAGCGUUAAUCGGAAUUACUGGGCGUAAAGCGUGCGCAGGCGGUUUGUUAAGUCUGUUGUGAAAUCCCCGAGCUCAACUUGGGAAUUGCAAUGGAUACUGGCAGGCUGGAGUAUGGUAGAGGAAGGUGGAAUUCCCGGUGUAGCAGUGAAAUGCGUAGAGAUCGGGAGGAACACCAGUGGCGAAGGCGGCCUUCUGGACCAAUACUGACGCUCAUGCACGAAAGCGUGGGGAGCAAACAGG